rnacentral:rRNA from 1 species
UACAGAGACUGCAAGCGUUAUUCGGAUUCACUGGGCGUAAAGGGUGCGCAGGCGGCCAAGUGGGUUAGGCGUGAAAGCCCGGGGCUUAACCCCGGAAUUGCACCUAAAACUACAUGGCUAGAGCAUUGGAGAGGGUAGCGGAAUUCACGGUGUAGCAGUGAAAUGCGUAGAUAUCGUGAGGAACACCAGAGGCGAAGGCGGCUACCUGGACAAUUGCUGACGCUCAGGCACGAAAGCGUGGGGAGCAAAAGGG